CGUGACCUGGAAUGUUCGCCAGCCAGAUAAGUCCUCGAGCCGAUACUUUUUUAUAGGCAAGUAUUUCACGUGUUGUGUGCAUGUCCCCUUCGGCGGGAAAGCCUAAUAUACGUCAGGUAUUCGCCACCUUGAAC
rnacentral:sRNA from 1 species